UUAAUGAGUUGUAUAUCUUUUUUUUAGUACAUGUUUACAGUACAUAAUGAUUACAUUCAACAUGAGUUGGUACAUGCCUAUUACACAUGUUAAUAAUCAGUUGUAUUUCUGUACAGUAAAAAAUGAACAAUCCAUGAAGGAAAUUAGGAAGAUAAUUCCAUGCACAAUCACAUCAAAAACACGAAAUACUUAAGAAUUAACCAAGGAAGUGAAAGAAUUACUUAAGGAAAACUAACGCAAUCUUUAUCAAAAUCCCAGUGGUGUUUUCCCUUUAUAUUUUUUAUUUAAUUUCAACAUUUCUUUUUUGACACUUAAUAUUUGUGCAUAUUUUAUAACAAUUCAAUACAUGUAUGUAAUAUGUAAUGAUCAAUCAGGGUAACUAGAAUUUCCAGCUUAUAUAUUUAUUACAGUAAAAGCCUUGUUUGUGAGAAUACUUCAUUCUGCUCAUAAUCCAGAGCAAUUGUUUAUCAAAGCAGUGGGAAAGAAAAGAACCAGUUGUGAUCAUGUGACAUUUGGCAUGAUGUACUGAUCAUAUUGCAAGACACUGCUCAUUUAUCAAGUUAAAAUUUCUUAGAAAUGUGUACUCACCUUGCAGAACACUUGCAGACCAAGUUACUCACAAUCUAAGGUUUAACUGUAUUUCUGUGUUGGGAUCCUUCGGAUACUUCUAGUUAUCUUGACAUAGAUAAUAAAUUGUAGAAAACAGUUACCCUGCUAUGCUAUAGAACACCAGAAGUAAUUCCUCCCAUAUGUAAUAUAUUUUGAUAUCCAUUACCUAACCUCUGGUCAUACUUCCUAUUCUGUUUAGGCUCCGGUGACCACUAUUCUACUCUUUUAUUCUAUGAGAUCAAUUUUUUAGCUUUUAUAAAUGAGUGAGAACAUGUAGCAUUUGUCUUCCUUUGCUUGGCUUAUUUCAGUUACGAAAAUGUCUGGUACUAUCCAUGUUGCCUCAAAUGGCAGAAUUUCAUUCUUUAUGCCUAAACAGUUUUCCAUUGUAUAUAUGUACCACAUUAUUGUUAUCCAGCCAUCAGCUGAUGGGCACGAUGAUCACUUCUAUAUCUUGGCUAUUGUGAAGAAUGCUGAGAUAAGCAUGGGAGUCAGGUAUCUCUUUGAUCUAAUAAUUUUAUUUCCUCUAGCUAUUGUAUUAGGGUUCUUUAGAAAAAAAAGAACCAAGAGACUACAUAUUAAUGUGAGAGGGGAUUUAUUAGUUUGGUCCAUAGGAUCACAGAGGUUGAAAAAUUCUACAAUGGUUAUAUGCAUGAUGGUGAGCUAAGGAAGUCAGUAGUACCUCAGUCCAUGGAAGUGGAAGCCAUAGAACCAGAAAAAGACCAAUGCUGCAGCACUUAGUCCAGAUCCCAAGGCACAAGCGGCCCCAUGGAGGGCUGCUGAUACAAACCUGAGUCAGAAAUUCCAAAGAAUUUCAAUCUGAUGCCCAAGGGUGGCAGUUGUAUAAAAAAGUACACACUUAAAAGGGAAGACCAAGAAAGCAAGAAAAAGAAAUUGCCAGAUUGUUUUUUUGGUUUGUUAAAAAAAACUACUAGGGCUUUCACUGAGAUUAGUUUUUAGAGUUUAUUGCAGGGUCUCUCAACAUUGGCACUAUUUUGGGUCAGGUAACUCUGGUGUGUGUGUGUGUGUGUGUGUGUGUGUUUUGUAUGUGUAUGUUCUUUGCAUUGUAGGAUUUUUAUCAGCAUCCCUGACCUCCACCCAGUAGAUGCUAAUAGCAGCCCCUCAGUUACCACAGUCAGAAAUGUCUCCAUAUAUUGCUAAGUUUUUCUCUGCAAGAAAAAUUACCUCUGAUUUGGAACCACUAGUGUAUAGUACGAGUCUUUUACUUAUCACAGUCUACCUUUAAGUGCUCUUACACUAGUUCAUAUAUAAUAUAUGAAUCUUGCAACAUUUACUUCCAUUUCUCCCCUCCUUGUCUUUGUGAUGAAUUUGGGACAUCUUUUUGUGCCAGGAAAUCGUGUAGUCCUCAAAGAAGGAUGGGAACAUGUGAAAAGAACAUAAGAGGAGGCUACAUUAGCAGAUUCUGAAAUGACACGUGCCUCAAAAUAAGUAAUGAUAUGAAUGGAUUAGGAUUCAGUGAACAAGAUAAAGAUAUAAGAAAAUGAAUAAAUAAAUAAUCAAAUGGGAGUAAGGGGAAGUUCUUUCUUAGAAUAGAGUACCAACUAGUAAAUGUGGAAGGAAUGAUGGAAUUAGAAUGUUGCUAUCUGAUAACCACUUUAGGGAUAAGUAAUUUAGGAAAGAUUCAUCAAUGGUCAAGUUAAAAUCACCACUGAGAGAACAAACUGAUUUGUGCCUCCUGAUACAAAUUACUAAGAAGAAUAGAUCAUUUCAGUGGCAUUUUUGCCAAUGAAACAUAAUCUGCAUCUAAUCACCAUAAAGUAUGAAGAAAUUCAAAGUGAAAGACAUUUUUUUGAAACAACUGGCCCACAGUCUUGAAAACAUUAAGGUCACAAAAGACAUAGGAGUUAUUUUAGAUCAAAGAAGACUGACAGGCCGAUUAAAAGACAUGGAGUAGCUAAAUGAAUUUAAAAACAAGACCCAAGAAUAGACUCUCUGCCAGAAACUCAGUUCAACAGUUUGUGGGAGACCUGUGACUGACCUCCAUUUUAUAUUAGCAGCCAUCUCAAGUAUUAGUUAAGUUUCUGUUUUCUGAGAUAAGUUUCUGUUUCUUCAUGCCCUGCCUAUUUCCCCGAGGUCACGUGCCCCUCCCUUAAGGUUGGGACUGCCCACUGUUGCCUACCUACUCCUGCCUUUGUCCGGUUGCUUGGUUACUCCCACUUCCGUAUUUCCCGUGCCCUAUAUAUGCACAGUACUUCCCGCCAAUAAACGAGACUUGAUCAGAAUCCUGUCUUGUCUCCAUUCUUCGUGUCUCUUGUCCCUCUCUCAUCCCCACUCCCCCUCUAGGGUCCUUGUUGACUUCACCCGCGGGACGGGAUAAGUGGCGCCCAACGUGGGGCUCGAGAACAGGGGAUUCAGUGAGGGACGCUGUUUCAUGAAGUCUGCGGCACAAAGAAAAGGAGGAAAAAAAAUAAAAAGAGGAUAAGAAAACGCGGGAGCCUGCUGCGUUGUGUUUUCUACACCUCGAUAAUGGGAUCAAGGAUCCAGAUCAUACUACUGGGACUAAUGAUGAUGCUACUGAUGACUUCAUACGGUGGUUUUGGACCCCGCCUAAUAGGGAAGUACUCCUGAAGCUCCAUGCUCAGGAACGCUGCUGCUUCUAUGCAAACAAGUCCGGCAUCGUCUGAGAUAAAAUUAAAAAAAAAAA